ACAUUGAUGGAUAUGGAUGAAGUAGACACUCUACUUUUUUCACGUCCCUCCGCAGAGCCACUUCCGCCAUUCGAUACGGACAAAGUAGACAGUCUACUCUUUUCACGUCCUUCUUCCGCAGAACCGCUUCCGCCAUUCGAUACGGAGGCUUUUACUUCGAAUCUACGAGCUGCACUCUAUUCGUGUCAGGCGCAGAACAGUCGGAGAUUACAAUGUUACGGGAGUGAAGCUGAGCAUAGCCGCGCUGGUCAUACUCCAGACGAGAUCAUGGCUCGACAUCCGAUACACAAACGACGGACGCAAUUACACCCGCGAAACUGAAACACGCGUCUUUGCAGAAGAUUACAAAGCUAAGCAAUGGGCAGAAGUUUCGUCGAAUAAAAAGUCAAGAGAUAGCUUUAAAGCGGCCUCUCACACGAGCAAGUCUAGCGAAGUGGAAGAAGAAAACACAACUUACCAAUUCGCGCCUAAUUAUCUUCAUAAUUGUCCAACACAAGACCUGAAGAAGCUUCGCAGAUCUUCAAUGCAUGGUGGCCCAGACUUAUCAGAUCUUAGAGGGGUAAUUUAUCCGUCCCCCAUUUAUUAGAAACCGGUGCUAAUUCUGACAGUAUCAACUUAAGCGACAAUUCCCAGAGGAGAUUCUGAAUAUCCGUCCAGAUCACAGAUCGGUUUCAUCAAGGAAUUCAGUCAUCGCCUGGCGGCGCUUUCGCAUUUCCAAGUCGUUCAAGGUUUGAUCGAAUACGAUAGACUGCUUUGCGGCUACAAUCAGCAGUACGCGCAAUCCGAGAUACAGGCUCAUCACUUCUAAGCAUGUCGCAUAUGAGCUGAACUGUUGAUUGUGCAAGGGGUGGGGCCAUCCUAUACACUACAAUAAUACAAGGCUGUAUUAUGUUCUAGUGACUGGUGUAAGAAGAGACUGAGAAAUGGCAAGGUACGGGGUACUACAUCUAGGCAGCGAUACAUGUAAUUUACGAGUGUAUCAAAUGUGCGAAAGCGCAAUACCUUAGGGAGAAAAUUACACAAGCCAGGGUUAAUCCGGACCUAGCCGUAUAUAGACUAGUAUAUUCUUAGCUCCGUUUCAGGAGAAAGAGAAGAGAGUGUUAGUUGUUACUCUGAAGGUGCAAACUACUGUACAGUACUCGGCAAUCUAUCAUCUGUCUAGAUCAUGACCCUAUUGCCGCUACUAUCUUGAAUGAAGUGUACAAAGAGGAAACAAAGAUGGGUUCCUCAAUGCUACUACCAAUUGUUGCUCUACCAAUUUUUUUAACUUAUUU
rnacentral:lncRNA from 1 species